GAUGAAGAACGCAGCGAAACGCGAUAAGUAAUGUGAAUUGCAGAAUUCAGUGAAUCAUCGAAUCUUUGAACGCACAUUGCGCCCGCCAGUAUUCUGGCGGGCAUGCCUGUUCGAGCGUCAUUUCAACCCUCAAGCCCCCGGGCUUGGUGUUGGGGAUCGGCGUGCCCUCGCGGCGCGCCGUCCCCUAAAUCUAGUGGCGGUCUCGCUGUAGCUUCCUCUGCGUAGUAGCAACACUCGCACUGGAUCGCAGCGCGGCCACGCCGUUAAACCCCCCACUUCUGAAAGUUUGACCUCGGAUCAGGUAGGAAUACCCGCUGAACUUAAGCAUAUCAAUAAGCGGAGGA
rnacentral:misc_RNA from 1 species